rnacentral:rRNA from 1 species
CCUACGGGAGGCAGCAGUGGGGAAUUUUGCGCAAUGGGGGCAACCCUGACGCAGCAACGCCGCGUGAGUGAUGAAGGCCUUCGGGUCGUAAAGCUCUGUCAGAGGGGAAGAAAUGCAGGUGGUGAACAACCAUUCUGUUUGACGGUACCCUCAAAGGAAGCACCGGCUAACUCCGUGCCAGCAGCCGCGGUAAUACGGAGGGUGCGAGCGUUGUUCGGAAUUAUUGGGCGUAAAGCGCGUGUAGGCGGUUUGUUAAGUCGGAGGUGAAAGCCCCGGGCUCAACUGGGAAAGGGCAUUGGAUACUGGCAGACUUGAGUACGGGAGAGGAAGGGGGAAUUCCCAGUGUAGGAGUGAAAUCCGUAGAUAUUGGGAGGAACACCGGUGGCGAAGGCGGCUCUCUGGACCGAUAUUGACGCGGAGACGCGAAAGCGUGGGGAGCAAACAGGAUUAGAUACCCUGUUAGU